GGCCUCGUAGUUCAGCUGGUACUAAAGCGAGGGUGGUGACCGUGCGUGGGUUCGAAUCCCGCCGAGGCCA
rnacentral:tRNA from 1 species